rnacentral:rRNA from 1 species
AAGUCGAGCGGACAGAAGGGAGCUUGCUCCCGGAUGUUAGCGGCGGACGGGUGAGUAACACGUGGGUAACCUGCCUGUAAGACUGGGAUAACUCCGGGAAACCGGAGCUAAUACCGGAUAGUUCCUUGAACCGCAUGGUUCAAGGAUGAAAGACGGUUUCGGCUGUCACUUACAGAUGGACCCGCGGCGCAUUAGCUAGUUGGUGAGGUAACGGCUCACCAAGGCGACGAUGCGUAGCCGACCUGAGAGGGUGAUCGGCCACACUGGGACUGAGACACGGCCCAGACUCCUACGGGAGGCAGCAGUAGGGAAUCUUCCGCAAUGGACGAAAGUCUGACGGAGCAACGCCGCGUGAGUGAUGAAGGUUUUCGGAUCGUAAAGCUCUGUUGUUAGGGAAGAACAAGUGCAAGAGUAACUGCUUGCACCUUGACGGUACCUAACCAGAAAGCCACGGCUAACUACGUGCCAGCAGCCGCGGUAAUACGUAGGUGGCAAGCGUUGUCCGGAAUUAUUGGGCGUAAAGGGCUCGCAGGCGGUUUCUUAAGUCUGAUGUGAAAGCCCCCGGCUCAACCGGGGAGGGUCAUUGGAAACUGGGAAACUUGAGUGCACAAGAGGAGAGCGGAAUUCCA